UACGAGAGGCCCAAACGUUAUUCGGAAUCACUGGGCUUAAAGAGUUCGUAGGCGGCGCGGAAAGUGGGGUGUGAAAGCCCUCGGCUCAACCGAGGAAUUGCGCUCCAAACUGUCGCGCUUGAGGAAGCUAGAGGUAAGCAGAACUGAUGGUGGAGCGGUGAAAUGCGUUGAUAUCAUCAGGAAUACCGGAGGCGAAGGCGGCUUACUGGGACUUUUCUGACGCUGAGGAACGAAAGCUAGGGGAGCAAACGGG
rnacentral:rRNA from 2 species